AAUGUAAACUGUGCAUCUACAAAUUCAAUGUGCUCUGCAAAGGCAUUUGAUGCAAGCAAGUCAAACAAAACUGUGGAUCAAACGGAUCCGUUUGAAAUCCCAAACACAUGUGAAAUAAAUACAUUCAUGGAACAACCAAUCAACAAUGAAGAAAGUGUUGGAUUAGGUGUUUAAGCCAUAACUAAAAUUGAUGGAAGCACAGUCCUUUUGGGUUGCCCUCGAGGCUCAAAAUGAAUAGAAGUGAUAAAGGAGAAUAAAAUUCCCAUGGAAAGUUUGUCCCACAUCGGUGGAAUAGAAAAACAUGGAGGCUAUCCAAAGCUAUAUAUAGGGCCUUAGGGAUUCAUUCUUUUUGCACAUUCUUGGCUUGUGUAUUCGCCUCCUUCUUUCUCCUCUUGGAAGAACUCUUCUAUAGUUCAUCCACACUUAGUUAUUUUUUUUUGAGUCGUCGGGUGUGAUUCCAUUAGAGGCACGACACUUGUGGUGCUUGCUUCCAAGAGAUUUGGAGGGAUAGUUUUAGUUGUUUACUACAACAACUAAAAGGAGCCUCGAUAAAGCGUGAAGAAGGCGCAUCUCCGAGCCCAACGUACACUGCGUACGGAUUUCAUUACAUGGAUUCAGUUGCUAAUGAAAACUGGGUGAAAGAUCUUGAUUCAGCCAAAUAUAUGUCCGUCUUAAAAGAUAUACAAGAGCAUUUGCAAGGAAAUAGAUGUUGAUGCCUUCUUUUAGAUGGUUGCUCUCACUAGAAGUAUCAAAUGGAAACAAUUUCCAGUGAAAAAUACUCCCAUUGAAAAUGUUGUGAGGGAUGCAGUUAUGAAUUGGAAUGGUAAUGAUACUAGUGCACUAAGUACCGAUCUCAGAGCUGUCUCAGUCUUGUAUGAUAAGUGAAGCCACUUUUGCAGGCUUUCAACCAUGUCAAGACAUAAUCAAGACAUAAUCUUAAAUAAGCGUGGAGAGCAGUUUUUUAUGAGGCAAUUUCUGGUUCAAGUGGAUUAAAGGAUAAAGCAAAGUUGGAGUAAUUAGCUAAAGCCUUUGAAGCGAAGGGUCUUUACCGGUUAUUGAUUGAAAAUACGAGGAUCAAAGGCGGUCUGCCUUGCCUUCAAUGUUUAUCAUCUCUAUGUACUGGUCAUCAGAGAUGUUAACUUGUUGAACAGGUAACAUGGUGUUCUGAUUUAAAAAUUCGGAAAUUUAUUUAUUUGAUGUUUUAUUUUCAUCAUUGUUCAGGGGAAGAAUCGGAGAUUAUACACAAGGCCAAAUCUUCAACAGAGGAAAGAAGCGGCAAAACGAGAAGCUGUUGAAGUAAUAGAAGUAUUGCUGUUGAGCCAACAUUAUAAAGAACACAAAGGCAAAAAUGUUGAUUAGUGAUGUAGACGUUGGAGAAAAGCAUAACAAAGGUGAACAUGGAGGUGUUCCAUGUUAUUCAAAGGUUGGCACAAAGUUUAUGAUGGCUGAUUGACUGUUGUCUCUUCCCAUGAAGAAGAUGAAGACAGUCAAUGUAAAAGAUUGCGUGAUCAGUUUUACGGAACUUUCAUGAACGAGAUUGUAACUGCAUUAACUAUCAACUUUAUUCUUUCGGGUCAUAUUCAUUUGUUUAGCAAUUCAAAUUAUAUCUUACCAAAACACUAAACAAGCCAAAAGUGUUGAACGGGCCAAAAGCUACUCAAAGUUAGAUCAGCUUUGCAAAAUAAUGGUUCUUGAUACUAAUUAAUUAUGAAAGUUGGUCAAAAGUUUUCUGGGUUGAUCUAA